UCUCUAUAUAAUCGACAAUAAAUUCAAUUAAACGCCCAUAUACAGGUAACAAUUGAACUAUGUACUUAUAUUAUUAUUAUUAUUAUUUUUUCUUUUUAAUUUCUCCGACAACUCUAUAUACGCGUAAUACAUGUCGUGUAUAUCAUUUUAAAUACAUAAUUGCCCUCUCCCCCACGAGCGCAAAAUAACACGUAAAAGGUAUUAAAAACGAAUACGUGCGGACAAUGGAUUUGUAGUAUUGUUUUUAAGAAUCGGCUUGAUACUGUCGUUAUUACGGCGACGGUGUAGGACUGACAACAGUCGAUUUCACAAAUAAUUUGUAUUUAUUCGGAAUCACGCGCUGUGACAUGAUAUAAUAAUAUGUCUAAUCGUAGGCGUCUAAUAGUUAUCCGUUUUUGCCCCGUAAUUUUUUUUUUUUUUUUUUUUUUAAGGGCACUUCUUUACCCUCGACAACCAAAUAAACUAAUAGGUAAUUGUUGGUUUUUAUAUUGUGAACGGAACGAGAAAUGUAUUGGUUUCACAAUGGUGUUAAUUUUUACCACUCGUAUUUUUUUUUUCUCUGAAUAACAUUUCAACCGGAAAUUCUGCUCAGAUUUUCAAGCGCAUAACUUUUAAUGAAACGAAAUCUGAUUGUGGUGGUACUUUAAGGAGGUCAUUUUUUAAUUUUCCCUUCGAAUCGUAAGUAUUACAAACCAUGGCCUUUCAAACCAUGUAUAACCGAAGUCCGCUCAGAAUCGUUUUUCUUUAGCAAUGAUUGCUUAGAGAUUCACAUAGAUUUCCCCUUUACCUUCCCCACUUCUCACCAACAAUAGUGGCUCAUCUAUCGUGUGAAAUAGGUUCGUUAGUUUUUUGUUUUUAUCUUUUUAUUUUUUUUUUUAUCAGUGUCGCUAAAAUAAUCCAUGGGUCAAUAAAAAUAAAUCGAUUUUCGUAAUAAAAAUACCAAUAAUCCUGUGUCAGCCCCUGUUUAAAGCUUGAAUGCGGGGGGAAAGUAGUCUAUAUGUCAUUCAUGGUCUACAACUACAUCUGUGCAUAGUGUCAGCUCAAUCCGUUCGAUAAUUUUGGCGGGUACGGGUACCUAACACACACUCAUUCAAACAAUAUUAUAAUAAUAUUAGGAUAAUCUAAAUACAUUACAUCAAUAUUCUAUAAUUCUUUAGCCUUGCAGAUAAAGGGCUUCACUCGAUUUUUUUACGAUUUUCAAUGCAAAUAAAUUAAGUUUUGAUAAUUGCAUAAUGGUAAAACUACUUAUUGACUACUAAAUGGCUCAAGUUACAUAAUUCUGUGACGCACGAUGCCAUUUUUCGCGAAACAAAAUGUACAUCAUAGUGAUAUUUUGAUAUUUCUUAUGAAUACACGUGUGUGUCGUUUAGGAGAGAAAAAAA